UACUGUUCAUUAACAGUGAUUUGACGAAAUUGACCUCGGUUUCUUCUUUGUUCUGCUUACUGUUUCCACUUUUCUACAGUGGAAAGUCGGUUAUGCCCUUCUGCGUCUUUCAUCGUUUCUUUCUCUGCUUUGAUCGCAUCGUUUUUACUUUACCUUUUCUCUUCGUUUUUUCAUCUCCGUUGCUCUGCGAUUUUCUCCUUCAUCGCUCCCUCUUUUGCUGCCAAAUCUUUGCUCUUUCUUCGCAAAAUAGUCUCAAAAGAGAUCCUGACUUUAAUUUUAUUGGGGAUUUGGUUUCCGGUCUUCUCCAGUGUCGAACCCUUUGUUGGUUAGCGUUUUGUUCUCAUCUUGCCAUCGUUGGGAUCAAAAUUUUAAGGUCAGUUUGUUUUCAACGUUUGAUCUUUAUUUUUUGAUCUCUAGGGUAAGAAAUUUAAGCUCUUUGUUUCUGUUUUUUAUUUUUUUUGCGGAUCUGGAGGUUGGGACAAAUUUUUUUGUCAAAUUGGAGGCUGAUCAUGUGCUACCUCUUCAGAUUAUUGAUAAAGAAAUUAUAUUGAGCUUAGGUCAUUAUGCUCCUUUUGCUUCCAAAGUUUUUGAACCUGACCGAAGUCAGUUUGCUGAAUCGCUUUUGCGUGUUAGUGAUGUAUGAUUUUCUUUUUUGCACAAACAUGAUGAAAAACUGAAUUUGACUUAUUUGAUUUUGGGUUUUUGUUGUUCCUGUUGCUAAUUUUGUGUUUUUUUUUUUCCAGUUACUAGAACAAAACUGUACCAUUUGUUAUUUCUAUAUGUUUAUUCCUUCCUGUAAAUACGAUGAAGACACAUACAUGUUUGUAAAACAUUUUUCAAAUUUUAUGCAUGCGCUUUUAAAACAUGCGGCAACGCGCGGGCAAGAUUGCUAGU